CGAAAAACCGGCGUCUGAAACGCCGGCAGUGACAUUCAACCGCCAUGAAUCGCCGUGCAGGGAUCGGCGCAGGCGACGCACUUGCGUCUGAACAAAAACCUGAGGCAGUGGUAAAAAGUUGCAAAACCUGCAAUCAAUGUCGAGCGAUUCUAGCAGGGUUUAAUGAUCCGUUAAUGCUAUGCGCCGCCAUUUAAAUUACUUACAGUUA
rnacentral:sRNA from 1 species